rnacentral:rRNA from 1 species
UGAGGAAUAUUGGUCAAUGGGCGGGAGCCUGAACCAGCCAAGCCGCGUGAGGGAGGAAGGCCCUAUGGGUCGUAAACCUCUUUUGUCAGGGAACAAAAGCGAGUAUGUAUACUAGUCUGAGUGUACCUGAAGAAAAAGCAUCGGCUAACUCCGUGCCAGCAGCCGCGGUAAUACGGAGGAUGCGAGCGUUAUCCGGAUUUAUUGGGUUUAAAGGGUGCGUAGGCGGCGGUGCAAGUCAGCGGUAAAAGCCCGGGGCUCAACCCCGGCGAGCCGUUGAAACUGCAGUGCUAGAGAGGCGAGAGGUAGCGCGGAAUGCGCAGUGUAGCGGUGAAAUGCUUAGAUAUUGCGCAGAACUCCGAUUGCGAAGGCAGCGUACUGGCGCCUGACUGACGCUGAGGCACGAAAGCGUGGGGAUCGAACAGGAUUAGAUACCC